rnacentral:snRNA from 1 species
GUGCUCGCUUUGGCAGCACAUAUACCAAGAUUAGAUAAUACAGAG